CUAUGUGGACAGCAAUUCUUUCCCUGCAUCCGCUUCGCUGUGGUUGCUUCUUCUAUUUGUGUGGUGGUUGCUGCUGUUUUUUGCCUUUUGCCGCGAAUUUUUAUCUAUAUUACUUAUCCCUUUUGUACAUUCACAAUUUGAUUCUUGCAGAUGGGCCCAUCAGCUCUGCUGAAGCACGGCGCCGUCAUCAAGAUAUUCGGCGGGGGAAGCGUCCCGUUGAAGACAAUUCAUUUAAGAAAUGUGUACCUCUAACUUCAGCAGUGUGCGGGUCUUCCCAUCGCUGUCCAGCGCGAAGACAAUCCAUUUAAGAAAUGUUGUGCGGGUCUUCUUCCAUCGCUGUCCAGCGCGAUUUUCCUACAUUACGGUUUUCAUCAUUUAGUAGUGUUUUGUUGCAACAACCUGUUUAUACUUCCAUAACCUUCGGGCCAUCUUUGUUUCGGGUUUUAGAACUGUCUCAUGCGCCUACCCGACACCGUUGGUGUUUCCUCUCCCGUAUGUCCAUCCUCUUCAAGCUGGAUUGAACAGGAGGAAGAGAAAAUUUAUUUGGAAACAUCGAUCAAGCAAACUUAGAAUUAAAAAACUUGCGCCUCCAUUUUCCAAAGAUCACAUUGAUUUGUUGAAAGGUAGAUGUUUUUAGCCUUCUUUCACGGUGUAACAUACAGUUACUACACCAGCAUCCUCGGGAAAGUCAUUAGACGAAACGCCCACUUCACAAAGCAAGAAGAGACAACAAAACAAGGACGGACUCUCACCACGUAAAAAGAGAGCCACGUCGCCAAGCAGUUAUUCACCUUCGAAAGUGAUCAAGAAAAAGCUGAAGCUGAUCAAGAGAAGGCUCAAGAUAUGCCAUCCAAGUGAUGAAGGAGCUCCACACACCAAAUUCUAAGAUAAAUCAAACUACGCUCCCACCAUGGCAGACCCCAACACUGAAGAACCACCGUUCUUAGUAUUGUAAACAUAUGUGUAUCUCAUUUCAU